UAAGAUGUAUUUAAAUUCUACUUGGAGAGAUUCAUGGUUGAUCAGAACAUAGUAAAAAAACAAAUGUGAAAUGUAGCCCAGACUUUGGAUUUUGUACAAUUGAUAUUCAAAGGAAAAAUCAACAAUGCUGUUAGAUCCGGCUGCCUUAGCUUACACGUGAGUCCUUUUUUUUAGUCGUGUUAUUCAUAUCUUGUGCUUUCUUGGGGAUUCCUCUAUAAUUGGGAUUUUGUUAGCAUUUUCUGGUAUCAAUUUACAUUGACACUGGCUUAGGUAUAGUGGUUUUAUUACUAAAUAAAUUAUGUCUUGCUACUAAUGUAAAAAUAACUUUAAAAAGAUAUAGAGGCACCAUGUCCAGCCGCAGAGGGGGCAGGAAGAAGCCCCUGAAGCAGCCCAAGAAAUAGGCCGAGGAGAUGGUCAACAGAAGGCGUUCAAGCAGGAGCCAAAAGAGGAGCAGAAGAAACUCCAGGAGCUAAAAGGCCAAGACCAGGCCUCAGGGAAGGGCCCCUUGGUCACAGGCAGAAUUAAGAAAUCUGGCAAAAAAGUAAACUGUUCCUUGUGCCUGAGGCAAUGGUAAUCCUUAAUUCCAUUCCUGUUUAAACAUCUGGAUUCCCUGUCAUAACCCUGUUGCUGCCGAUAGCUAGAAUGGAGUGUCUUAGAUCCUGUUGUACAUUUAAGAAUAAACUUUUGUUUUAAAAAAUCAAUCAUUAAAAUAAAAAAGAAAAAAAAUGUAGUAGUCAACAAGAAUAGAUGAUGAGAUGGUGCUCAGAGAUGGCACUGGCCUAAUUUAGGACAUGGUUUCACGAGUGAAACAUGUAGUUUGGACAAAGAGCGAGUCAGUAUUUCCAUAUUUGUUUUUUUCUUGUUCCGGUUAUUUGAUAUUUUAAACUGCUCCAGCCACGGCAUUUUUGAUUGGCUGUAUUAUCUGUUUUGGUAUAGAGCCAUGGUGGUACAUAUAUCUCAGCCAUCUGUGUUACGGUGUCUUAGGUGAACUGAGCAGAAAGCGGUGAUAAGUAUGGGUUAUCAUGACAGAUCUUUGGAAGUUCCUUCCACACACACACUAUAAAAAGUUUUUAAGUCCUAGACCAAGUCUGUCCAAUAGAACUUUUGCAGCAAGGAAAAUAUUCUAUAUCUGUGCUGCCCAACACAGAAGUGACAGGCCACCACGUAGCUACUGAGGUGUGGUUCAUGCAACCGGUUAACUAUAUUUUCUAUUUUAUUUAAUUUUCAUUUCAAUAUCCACAUGUAGCUACUGGCUAUUGUAUUAGACUGCCUAGUCCUAAACAAUAGCUAACAUUCCAGAGUUUAUAGUUGCACUUCAUAGUUCCAAAAGUGUGUCAAGACGAAUUACGUAAUUGUUCUUUUUGUUUAGUCUGUGGUGUUUACAUCUGUCCCAGGCCAACAACUGCUCUUGGCUAGCCCUCUUGGGUAUGGGCUUUAAUUCCACUACCACAAACACAAUACUGUCAUCUGCUUUAUAAAUAAUAAUGCUUAAGAUGCCUGAUAGAAUCUGAUUUUGCAGCCAAAGGAAUCCUUUCCACUAACUACAAAAGAAAUCCUUUUUCUCUCUAGAUAUUGUAAUUGGCAUCUAGUUAGAAUCACUCUAUAUAUAAUCUUGGGAAAUAAACAGCCACUGAUGGUUAACAAGUAGCUCAUAUUGUUAGUAGUUCAUAUUGUACUUGAUAAGCAAUAUUCUGAUUAAUAAUUUUUGUUUGUUCAGAAUUGGCAGUGGAGGCUGAUUUGGGAGGAAAGCUGUGGCCAUAAACAUUGAAGAAGACAAGUGGAUUCUUUGUGACAUUCAGACUUUCUACAAUAGCACAGUGGAGGAAAUGCCAAUGAAUGUGACUGACCUUAUUUAAUUCCUGGGAUGAGAUAGUUUUGAAUGGAGCACGCGCUGUUGUGGAAUAGGUGAUGGUAACAUCCACUGUGCUUCUUUCUUUGGGAAUAUUUGAAGCUCGUCUCAAUGCUCAUAACGGAUCAAAAAUACAGAUUUUGAUGGUAACACUACUCUUACUCGUGAGCCCAUAUGAGGAUGGUCAUUGGUUUUAUCUGCUUCAGAAUUAGAAUAUUGGAGUUGGAUAUGACAGAUGGGGUUGUAACAAUUAUUCUUAGAAAUGUAUUUCCUAGUUCUGUAAAAAUGGUUAUAUUGAGUGUGCUCCAUCAUUUAAUACUAUAUUGUGGACUGGACAAUAUGUGCUGUAUAAAAGCAGCCAAUUGAGGUGCCUAGGUGGCCCACUUGGUUGGGCGUCCAACUUCGGCUCAGGUCAUGAUCUCACAAUUUGUGAGUUCAAGCCCCACAUUGGGCUCUGCGCUGAUGGCCAUUUGUGUUACGAGUUACAUGUGCCAUCAGCACAGAGCCUGGAGCCCACUUCGAGUUCUGUGUCUCUCCUUCUUUCUCUGCCUCUCCCCUGCCCAUGCUCACACUGUGUCUCUCUCUCAAAAAUAAAUAAACUUUAAAAAAAGAAAAGAAAAGAAAAGCAGCCAAUUAUGGGGCGCCUGGCUGGCUCAGUCAGUGGAGCAUGUGACUCUUGAUCUUGAGAUUGUAAAUUUAAGCCCCAGGUUGGAUGUAGAGACUACUUAGAAAUAAAAUCUCUUUUUAAAAAAAGCAUCCAAUUAUAUUAAACUAGUUUAUCUGCUUUUAUUGCGUUAGUCAUUAGACUGAAUAAAACAAACUCGAAAAUGUUUUUUUUUAAUAAAGUAUUUGAUUUCAUUUUGUAUGGUAUUGUGUUUUUACUUUGUAAUGUUACGGCAUCAGGCUGGAAUGCUGGC
rnacentral:lncRNA from 1 species